UAAAUGAGAAGAAUUAUGGGAAAUUUUCUCUGUGUAUUUUAUUGAUCAGUGCUCCAUUCCAUUUAUACAAGUAGAAGAGAAGAAAAAUAGCUAUAUUCUAUACAGGUGUCCCUGUACUAUAGGUUAGGUUCUAACAAACUUAAAACAAACUUGUAAGAGAGAAUACUCCUAUGUACACAUAUUGUUAUCAUCAGCUGGGCCUUUAACAAAUGAACCCAAAUUCCUUUUGUCCAAUUAAUUAGUUGGGCCUGAUAUUCCU
rnacentral:lncRNA from 1 species